rnacentral:tRNA from 4 species
GGGCCUGUAGGUAAACGGCAUACCGAUACAUUCGCAUUGUAUAAUUCCGAGUUCAAUUCUCGGCAGGUCCA